rnacentral:misc_RNA from 1 species
AAAGUUGUAACAAGGUUCCCGUAGGUGAACCUGCGGAAGGAUCAUUCAUAAUAAGUGUUUAUGGCACUUUUUAAAUCCAUAUCCACAUUGUGUGCAAUGUCGGUCGAUCUCUCUCGGGAGAUUGACCAAACAUCAACCUUAUCUUCAACUCUUUUGUCAGAAAAAUAUUGUGAAUAAAAUAAUUCUAAUAUAACUUUCAACAACGGAUCUCUAGGCUCUC